GAGACUCUGUGCGCGACGCAUAUCAAUAAGCGGAGGAAAAGAAACUAACAAGGAUUCCCUUAGUAACGGCGAGUGAAGCGGGAAGAGCUCGAAUUUGAAAUCUUCAAGGUUCUACCUUGACGAAUUGUAGUUUAUAGAAGUGUUUUCUGUUAGUAUGAGUAGGCAAAAGUUCCUUGGAAUAGGGACAUCAUAGAGGGUGAGAAUCCCGUAUUUGACCAGUUCUUUCUAGCUGUGUGAUACACUUUCAAAGAGUCGGAUUGUUUGGGAAUGCAGUCCAAGAUGGGUGGUAAAUUUCAUCUAAAGCUAAAUAUUGGCGAGAGACCGAUUGCGAACAAGUACCGUGAGGGAAAGAUGAAAAGAACUUUGAAAAGAGAGUUAAACAGUACGUGAAAUUGUCAAAAGGGAAGCGUUUGACACCAGUGUUGUUUAGUUGAAAAUCAAUUCAAUAGUUUUUGAUUCUAAGUAGUAUUGACUUCAUCAGCUUGCUGCUUUCUUCUCAGAAAUUAUUGAAUGCACUUUUCAGUUAACAAGUCAACAUCAAUUUCUUUUGUUGUAAAAGGGUAAGAGGAAGGUGGCUUUCUUUUCGGAGAAAGUGUUUAUAGCCUUGUGCCUCUGCAAUCGGAGAGAUUGAGGUCUGCAGCGUAGAUCCUUCGGGGUUAGAUACGUUUGUGCUAAGUUAUAGCUUUUCAUAGACAACUUGUUGACUAUGUUUAGUCUUGUAGCUUACUCGCUGAUGCUAUUUUACCUACGCUUAGGAUGUUGACGAUCAGCUGAGCGCG
rnacentral:rRNA from 1 species